UACGUAGGGGGGCAAGCGUUGUCCGGAUUUAUUGGGCGUAAAGAGCGUGUAGGCGGCUAGGUAGGUCCGUUGUGAAAACUCGAGGCUCAACCUCGAGACGUCGAUGGAAACCAUCUAGCUAGAGUCCGGAAGAGGAGAGUGGAAUUCCUGGUGUAGCGGUGAAAUGCGCAGAUAUCAGGAAGAACACCCGUGGCGAAGGCGGCUCUCUGGUACGUGACUGACGCUGAGACGCGAAAGCGUGGGGGAGCGAACAGG
rnacentral:rRNA from 1 species